CGGGUGGUAAUACCGGAUGCUCCGCUCCAUCGCAUGGUGGGGUGGGAAAUGCUUUUGCGGCAUGGGAUGGGGUCGCGUCCUAUCAGCUUGUUGGCGGGGUGAUGGCCCACCAAGGCGUUGACGGGUAGCCGGCCUGAGAGGGUGACCGGCCACAUUGGGACUGAGAUACGGCCCAGACUCCUACGGGAGGCAGCAGUGGGGAAUAUUGCACAAUGGGCGCAAGCCUGAUGCAGCGACGCCGCGUGCGGGAUGGAGGCCUUCGGGUUGUAAACCGCUUUUGUUCAAGGGCAAGGCACGGUUUCGGCCGUGUUGAGUGGAUUGUUCGAAUAAGCACCGGCUAACUACGUGCCAGCAGCCGCGGUAAUACGUAGGGUGCGAGCGUUAUCCGGAUUUAUUGGGCGUAAAGGGCUCGUAGGCGGUUCGUCGCGUCCGGUGUGAAAGUCCAUCGCCUAACGGUGGAUCUGCGCCGGGUACGGGCGGGCUGGAGUGCGGUAGGGGAGACUGGAAUUCCCGGUGUAACGGUGGAAUGUGUAGAUA
rnacentral:rRNA from 1 species